rnacentral:rRNA from 1 species
GCUCAGAAACUUAAAGGAAUUGACGGGGCCCGCACAAGCGGUGGAGCAUGUGGUUUAAUUCGAUGCAACGCGAAGAACCUUACCAGGCCUUGACAUCCUGCGAACUUUCUAGAGAUAGAUUGGUGCCUUCGGGAGCGCAGUGACAGGUGCUGCAUGGCUGUCGUCAGCUCGUGUCGUGAGAUGUUGGGUUAAGUCCCGUAACGAGCGCAACCCUUGUCCUUAGUUGCCAGCGCGUAAUGGCGGGAACUCUAAGGAGACUGCCGGUGACAAACCGGAGGAAGGUGGGGAUGACGUCAAGUCAUCAUGGUCCUUACGGCCUGGGCUACACACGUGCUACAAUGGCCGGUACAGAGGGUUGCCAACCCGCGAGGGGGAGCUAAUCCCAGAAAACCGGUCGUAGUCCGGAUCGGAGUCUGCAACUCGACUCCGUGAAGUCGGAAUCGCUAGUAAUCGCGAAUCAGAAUGUCGCGGUGAAUACGUUCCCGGGCCUU